AUUUACACACCGUCAGCGAUUGUCAUAGAAUGAAUUGGGAAAUGCAGUCCAAGCAUCGUUGGGCCUGGUCAGUACUUGGAUCGGAGACGGCUUGGGAAUCCCAGGUGUCGUAAGCU
rnacentral:rRNA from 1 species